AUGGCCAAAUCAUGUUGAAACACCAGUUCCUGUACAAUCACCAAAGUUAAGCAACAUCAAACUUGGUCAGUACCUAGAUGGGUGAUCACUUGGGAAUACUAUGUGCUGUAAG